rnacentral:rRNA from 1 species
CCGGCCCGGACACCGCGAGGAUUGACAGAUCGAGAGCUCUUUCUUGAUUCGGUGGGUGGUGGUGCAUGGCCGUUCUUAGUUGGUGGAGCGAUUUGUCUGGUUAAUUCCGAUAACGAACGAGACUCUGGCCUGCUAAAUAGUCCGCCCGUACCCGCGUGCGGGCGCGGACUUCUUAGAGGGACGAGCGGCGCUUAGCCGCGCGAGACUGAGCAAUAACAGGUCUGUGAUGCCCUUAGAUGUCCGGGGCCGCACGCGCGCUACACUGAAGGAAUCAGCGUGCCCCCGUCCCGGCCCGGAAGGGCCGGGCAACCCGUACAACCUCCUUCGUGCUGGGGAUCGGGGCUUGCAAUUCUUGCCCGUGAACGAGGAAUUCCCAGUAAGUGCGAGUCACCAGCUCGCGUUGAUUACGUCCCUGCCCUUUGUACACACCGCCCGUCGCUACUACCGAUUGAACGGUUUAGCGAGGCCCUCGGAUCCGUCCCGGCGCCGCCGGUCCCGGCAGCGUCGGCGCGCGGAGAAGACGGUCGAACUUGAUCGUUUAGAGGAAGUAAAAGUCGUAACAAGGUUUCC